GCUACGGGAGUCAGCAGUGAGGAAUAUUGGUCAAUGGGCGGAAGCCUGAACCAGCCAAGUCGCGUGAGGGAAUAAGGCCCUACGGGUCGUAAACCUCUUUUGCCGGGGAGCAAGGGCCGGGACGCGUCCCGGCCCGGAGAGUACCCGGAGAAAAAGCAUCGGCUAACUCCGUGCCAGCAGCCGAGGUAAUACGUAGGAUGCGAGCGUUAUCCGGAUUUAUUGGGUUUAAAGGGUGCGUAGGCGGAAUAUCAAGUCAGCGGUAAAAAUUCGGGGCGCAACCCCGUCGUGCCGUUGAAACUGAUGUUCUUGAGUGGACGAGAAGUAUGUGGAAUGCGUGGUGUAGCGGUGAAAUGCAUAGAUAUCACGCAGAACUCCGAUUGCGAAGGCAGCAUACCGGCGCCCAACUGACGCUGAAGCACGAAAGCGUGGGUAUCGAACAGGAUUAGAUACCCUUGUAGUC
rnacentral:rRNA from 1 species